UUAUUACAUGCUGUAAUGUAUGUAAUAAAACUUGAUACAGGGCCAGCAGAGUCGGACCUGUCACAUCAGGUAGGGGGCUGUCUGGGAGCAGUCAUCUCUGAAGGAAACCCUCGACCAUUUGGAGCCUCCAGCUGCCUUCCUCUCCUAGACCAGGGCAGUAUCUCCGCAGAGAUCCUGCCUGGCCUGUAUAUUGGCAACUUCAAAGAUGCAAGAGAUGCAGAACAAUUGAGCAGGAACAAAGUGACACACAUCCUUUCUGUGCAUGACAGUGCCAGGCCCAUGAUGGAGGGAGUUAAAUACCUGUGUAUUCCAGCAGCGGACUCACCAUCUCAAAACAUGACAAGACAUUUUAAAGAAAGUAUUAAGUUCAUUCACGAGUGCCGACUCCAGGGUGAGGGCUGUCUUGUGCACUGCCUGGCUGGGGUCUCCAGGAGUGUGACACUAGUGAUUGCAUACAUCAUGACUGUCACCGACUUUGGUUGGGAAGAUGCCUUGCACACUGUUCGAGCAGGGAGGUCUUGUGCCAACCCCAACCUGGGCUUCCAAAGACAGUUGCAGGAGUUUGAGAAAUAUGAAGUGCACCAGUAUCGACAGUGGCUGAAAGAAGAAUAUGGAGAGAACCCUUUGCGGGAUGCAGAAGAAGCCAAAAGUAUUCUGGGUAAAUAUAAAGAGCAAGGGCGCAUGGAGCCCCGGCCUAGCACCAGGCGGUGGAGCAGCUUUUCAACCCUGUCUCCUCUGACCUACAAUAACUACACGACAGAGACCUAACAGAGAGAUCUGAUGUUUCCUUCCUGCUCCGGGUCUUCUGGGUUGCCUACAGGCUGGUGUGCCUGGUGUGCUGGUUACUGCCUCUAAGGACUACAAAAGGAGGUCACAGUGAGGUGGACCACGCAGGGCUCCUUCCCCAGCAACCCUACCCUGCCCUGCUCAAGGCCUUUUCAUGCUACCCAUCUUCACCCAAUCUUGGCCUCUCCUGAGUCUGCUGUGCCUGCGAUGCUGCUGGACUGCUGUCCGCCCCGGGAAUUCUGAAGUACUGGGCCUUUCUCAGAAGACUGUAAUGUACCUGACGUUUCUGAAAUAUUGCAAAGUUCAGGCUGGUGCUGCCAAAAAAAAGUGACGCAGAGUUUAUUUUUAAGUGUCCAGUAGUAAUUUGUAAACUUGUUUGUUUUUCAUUUUAAAUUGAAUGCAUGUAUAAUCAUGUUGGAAUACAUUCGGAACUAUGGAGAUUUUGUAGCAAGAAAAAAUACCUUUGCCUUAACUCCACUGCUGUGGUGGACCUUCGAUCCGACGGAUGCCUGUAGAAUAAUCUCAAGAGCUCCAUCACACUACUGUGUUCUGUUUCAUAACAGUAACGGCUUCUCAUGAACACAACCCAGGAUGAAAAGCUGGCACCUGGGGAAUAUGUAGCGCGAACUCUACCCUCCUGUUAGGUUCUCCAGCUCAAGACAUGUCUCUCAGUGUGUGUUUCAUCCAUGGUUGUUCUCCAUGGUAGAAUUGCCAAACACUACUCACUUUCAUUAAUAAAGGGCAAGUCAACCAAGUCUAA